rnacentral:rRNA from 1 species
UACGAAGGGGGCUAGCGUUGCUCGGAAUCACUGGGCGUAAAGCGCACGUAGGCGGCUUUCUAAGUCGGGGGUGAAAUCCCGGAGCUCAACUCCGGAACUGCCUUCGAUACUGGGAGGCUGGAGUCCGGGAGAGGUGAGUGGAACUGCGAGUGUAGAGGUGAAAUUCGUAGAUAUUCGCAAGAACACCAGUGGCGAAGGCGGCUCACUGGCCCGGUACUGACGCUGAGGUGCGAAAGCGUGGGGAG